UGGCUCAAUUGGUAGAGCAUGGUGUUAGCAAUGGUGUUUGCAACGCCAGGGUUGUGGGUUCGAUUCCCAC
rnacentral:tRNA from 1 species